UAUCUCUGUAGAGUCUGCAUAUCAAUAAGCGGAGGAAAAGAAACUAACUAAGGAUUCCCUCAGUAACGGCGAGUGAAGCGGGAAGAGCUCAAAUUUGAAAUCUUCAAGGUUCUACCUUGACGAAUUGUAGUUUAAAGAAGUGUUUUCUGUUGGAGUUUUGGUAAAAGUUCUUUGGAAUAGGACAUCAUAGAGGGUGAGAAUCCCGUAUUUGACCAUUAUUUCCAGCUUUGUGAUACACUUUCAAAGAGUCGGAUUGUUUGGGAAUGCAGUCCAAAAUGGGUGGUAAAUUUCAUCUAAAGCUAAAUACUGGCGAGAGACCGAUAGCGAACAAGUAUCCGUGAGGGAAAGAUGAAAAGAACUUUGAAAAGAGAGUUAAACAGUACGUGAAAUUGUCAAAAGGGAAGCGUUUGACACCAGUGUUGUUUUCUCGAAAAUCAAUUAAAAAAGGCAGGAUUUUGUGUUGUAUUGACUUUAUCAGCUUUCUGCACUCUUUUCUUGUCCUUUUUAAUGCACUUUUCGUUUAACAAGUCAACAUCAAUUUCUUUUGUUGUAAAAGGGUCAUUGGAAGGUGGCUUUCUUUUCGGAGAAAGUGUUUAUAGCCUUUGGCCUCUGCAAUCGGAGAGAUUGAGGUCUGCAGCGUAGAUCCUUCGGGGUUAGAUACAUUUGUGCUAAGUUAUAGCCUUUCAUAGACAACUUGUUGACUAUGAUCAGUCAUGUAGCUUACUCGCUUAUGCUAUUUUACCUACGCUUAGGAUGUUGAAGAUGUAGCACAUCAU
rnacentral:rRNA from 1 species